rnacentral:lncRNA from 10 species
UUAUUUUUAGUGAGACUGAAAGCUAAUAGGCAGCUGCCAGCAGUGGAGUGACAGGAUAGAGAAACAACUGUAGAGGAGCAAGAGAUGAUGGUGACUCAGACCAAAGUGGAAGCAGUGGAGGAAUCAUGGUAAUUGUCUUGCGCAAAGUAUCUUCCUUUAAUAUGGCAGAAAUAUUAGUGUGAAAGACAGAGGACUCUGAAAAGCAGGAGCAGGAAAUUUAAGAAAAACAGCAAAAGCAGACAUGAAGCUGAAGAACCACAGAGGAGCCAAAUUACAAGCAGUACCUGAAACACAUUCAUCACAGUCAAAAGGAAGUGAAGAGACACAGAAGGGAAGCAAGAUACUGAGAUGCUGCCAAGUAUCCCAGAGUCCAUGAUGGAGUAGAGAUGAAACAAUAGACCCAGGUCAUUCCUCUGCUGGAGGUUCUGAGGCAAGCAGUAGUGCUCUGCAGAUGAACAUUCAUGACAACUUGCCUUUCAACUGGAGGUGUGUGACAGCCAGAAAAAUACCAUCGAGGUAAAGCUUUUUUCUCCUAGAGGAGCAACUGACUCACCGCAGCAUGUUGUUAUGUGGACCUCGAGUCUGUGGACUAGUGACCUUCACCUCCUUCAGUGUGUGGGUCUGUCCAGGGCUUCCAUCCCUCCAGUAAGAACCCUAACCCACAUUCCUGCAUUUGAUAACUUUGAGUUAAAUCAAGAAAAGCUUGGAAAUUUGGACAUAGUUGUUUAUAAGUCACUCAUAUUAUCUAUUAAAGUCUAAAAAUG